GCGCGGGUGGCGGAAUGGUAGACGCGCUGGCUUCAGGUGCCAGUGUCCGAGAGGGCGUGGGGGUUCGAAUCCCCCCUCGCGCACCA
rnacentral:tRNA from 1 species